GCUUAAAGGGGCCGUAGCUUGAUAAUAGGGUCCCUUGAGAAAUCCGCCGGCUUAACUGGCGGGCGUUCAGGGGAAACUUGUUUUCUAGGGACCGGGAGAGGUGAGGGGUACUGCCGGGGUAGGAGUGAAAUCCUGUAAUCCCGGUGGGACCACCUAUGGCGAAGGCAUCUCACCAGAACGGGUCCGACAGUGAGGGACGAAAGCUGGGGGAGCAAACCGGAUUAGAUACCCAGGUAGUCCCAGCUGUAAACUAUGUGCGUUAGGUGUGUCAGUGACCACGUGUCACUGAGGUGCCGAAGGGAAACCGUGAAACGCACCGCCUGGGGAGUACGGUCGCAAGGCUGAAACUUAAAGGAAUUGGCGGGGGAGCACCACAACGGGUGGAGCCUGCGGUUUAAUCGGACUCAACGCCGGGAAUCUCACCGGAUAAGACAGCUGAAUGAUAGUCGGGAUGAAGACUCUACUUGACUAGCUGAGAGGAGGUGCAUGGCCGUCGUCAGUUCGUACUGUGAAGCAUCCUGUUUAGUCAGGCAACGAGCGAGACCCACGCGAGCAGUUGCCAGCUCGACCUUCGGGUUGAUGGGGACACUGCUCGGACCGCCUCUGCUAAAGGGGAGGAAGGACUGGGCAACGGUAGGUCAGCAUGCCCCGAAUUAUCCGGGCUACACGCGGGCUACAAUGGACAGGACAAUGAGUUUCGACACCGAGAGGUGAGGAUAAUCUUCUAACCCUGUCCCAAGUUCGGAUUGCGGGUUGUAACUCACCCGCAUGAAGCUGGAAUCCGUAGUAAUCGCGCUUCAACAUACCGCGGUGAAUAUGUCCCUGCUCCUUGCACACACCGCCCGUA
rnacentral:rRNA from 1 species